rnacentral:rRNA from 1 species
UAGGUGAGAUAUCUACUUUUGCUUAAUUGAAAGUAGAUACUUUGAAUAGAGAGUUCUUAGUGGGCCGUUUCUGGUAAGCAGAACUGGCGAUGCGGGAUGAACCGAACGUUUGGUUAUGGUGCCGGAAUUCACGCUCAUUUAGAUACCAUAAAGGGUGUUGAUUCAUUUUGACAGCAGGACGGUGGCCAUGGAAGUAGGAACCCGCUAAGGAGUGUGUAACAACUCACCUGCCGAAUGAAUCAGCCCCGAAAAUGGAUGGCGCUAAAGCGUGAUACCAAUACCAAACCAUUGGGAUAAAGAAGUAUAUUCCAAUGUGUAGGAGGGCGUGUAGGUUGUAGUGAAGUCUCUGGGUGUGAACCUGGAUGAAACAGCCUAUAGUGCAGAUCUUGGUGGUAGUAGCAAGUAUUCAAAUGAGAACUUUGAAGACUGAAGUGGAGAAAGGUUCCAUGUGAACAGCAUUUGGACAUGGGUUAGUCGGUCCUAAGGGAUAGGGUAACUCCGUCUUAAAGGUGUAGGAUUUUAAA